rnacentral:rRNA from 1 species
AUUAUGGAGAGUUUGAUCCUGGCUCAGGACGAACGCUGGCGGCGUGCCUAAUACAUGCAAGUCGAGCGGAGCACUUCGGUGCUUAGCGGCGGACGGGUGAGUAACACGUAGGCAACCUGCCUAUAAGACUGGGAUAACUAUCGGAAACGAUAGCUAAGACCGGAUAACUGGUUUUCUCGCAUGAGAGAAUCAUGAAACACGGAGCAAUCUGUGGCUUAUAGAUGGGCCUGCGGCGCAUUAGCUAGUUGGUGAGGUAACGGCUCACCAAGGCGACGAUGCGUAGCCGACCUGAGAGGGUGAACGGCCACACUGGGACUGAGACACGGCCCAGACUCCUACGGGAGGCAGCAGUAGGGAAUCUUCCGCAAUGGACGCAAGUCUGACGGAGCAACGCCGCGUGAGUGAUGAAGGUUUUCGGAUCGUAAAGCUCUGUUGCCCUAGACGAACAGCAAGGUGAGUAACUGCACUUUGUGUGACGGUAUAGGAGAAGAAAGCCCCGGCUAACUACGUGCCAGCAGCCGCGGUAAUACGUAGGGGGCAAGCGUUGUCCGGAAUUAUUGGGCGUAAAGCGCGCGCAGGCGGUUAAUUA